GUUUCCCGUCCUUUGUGCCCGUUUAUCGUGGCCGCCGCCCCGCCGCGUGCCUGGCCGGUACCCCGGGUCUCCCCAGGAGGACGGUGUCCCGGAGGCCAGACCCCUGGGAAAGAGCUUUUCCUCCCGUGCUUGUGCGCCCUCGUUCCCUUGGGGGGACACCCCAGGCACAUCCAGGGCAUGGGCACCGGGGUGUACGAGGACAUGAAUCCGGGGAAGCCGGGCUCUGGAACAUUCCUGGGAGUGUCCUGCCAAAGAAGUGGACAAGAGUGUAAGCACAGCUGUCACGCGCAGUGACUCUGGUCUCUCCCAGGCAGUGUGUGGAGCGCUCUGGACAGGAGACUCCAGGACCCGGGACCAGCUGCCUCAGUCCUCUCCUGCAGGAUUCCAUCACCUCUCCCAGCGCCGCCUCCAGAGUCCUCUGGCAUCUUUGAGAGCAGUGGACAAUGGAUAAAUCUCUGGAACCCUUGACCUUCAGAGAUGUGGCCGUAGAAUUCUCGCAGGAGGAGCAGGACUACCUGGACCCGGCACAGUGGGAAUUUUACCGAGACGUGAUGUUAGAGACUUACAGGAACCUGGCGUCCUUGGGUGAUCUGCAGCCUGCUCUAUUAGUGCUCAUUCAAGAAAAUCAGUUCCUUAUUACAAGCUAAAAUCAGUGUGUUAUUGCACAUUCCUAUGACUCAGAUGUCUGGAAAUGGUUCUCAGGAUUGAAAAUUUAUUUCUUUAAAGAUUUAUUUAUUUAUGCAUACAAGAGCUGGGGUUCAGGCCAGAGGUGUGAGGGGUGAAAUGACUCACCAGAGACAGAACCGGGAACAGAACAGGCAGAUCAACCGAAGCACACUGCUGAGGGGAGCAGCGGUCGAGUCAGGAGACGUCCACCUCGCCAUGUAGGCCACUCCCUGGCCGGCCAGGGAUUGAACUCUCGCUACAGAGGCCACGGACAGCUUCACAGGAUGCUCCUUAACCCCUUGCACCUCCAGGGAGGCCCCAGGAUAUGAAAAUUUAAAUGAUUUCUGGUAAAGGUGGUGUCAGAAAAAGUAUUUGCAGUGAUCCUUUUCUAGAACCUUCUGUAUUCUCCUCUCUACUGAGCACAAUCCUGUAUUGGUAAUUUGAAAAUCUGCAGGCCAUCUCAUAUCACCUGUCCUAAUAAACAGGUCUUGCUAUGUCUAAGCCUGACCUGGUCGUCUUGUUGGAGCAAAAGGUGGAGCCCUGGGAUGUGAAGAGAAGUGCAAAUCCCGUCCUCCUCCCAGCCAUGUCUUCUCAAGACGACCAGGACUGCAUACCACAGUCAGGCACAGAAGAUUUAUUCCUAAAUGUGGGACCGGGAGGAGAUGGAAUCGACACCUUUGAGAAUUUAGAAUUAUUGAAAGAUCAGACAUGUCAAGAGGCAUGUGAAGGGCACAACAGUUGUUGCGAUGAAGAUGGCCGAGCAGCGACAAUUAUCCAUAGUAAAAUUUCUCCUGCAAAAACUGAUCCAGUGUGUAAACCAUGUUUGGUAAAACUCCAUUUUAUGUGUGUUGCAUGUAUAGAUAAAUAUGUUUCUGUUAGCAAAGAUCCAUGUGGCAUUUUUACCAAUACACAUUCUCAGAGAGGAAUAUUGGAACAUAUGGGAAGUCCCCUAGUCCAUAAUGGAAAUGAUUAUUCAAAACAUUGUCACCAUGGGGUAGGUUUAAACUUUGUGUCAAAUCAUUCUCAACAUCAGAGAAUUAGAAAGGAAGAUGAAAAAUCUACACAGGAUCCUAUUGAGGAGUCCUCAAAACUUCUCCAAUAUCAGACAAUUGGUGAGAAACCUUACAAUUGUAAAGAUUAUGGCAAAGAUAACACUUGCUGCUCCAGCCUUAAUGAACAUCAGAGAAAGAAACGGCGUAAAUGUGGAGAGCAUGGUAAAGGCUUUUAUUGGCAUUCACAGUUGACUCGAUCUCUAAGAAGUCAGAGAAAAGCCUUACAUGUGUCCAGACUGUGGUAAAGCCUUUCUAUAUUUGUGUCGCCUUUCCCAACAUCAGAGAGUUCAUAAUGGUGAGAAACCUUACAAAUGUGAAGAAUGUAAGAAAGCCUUUAAGGUGAAGUCAAGUCUUAGUCAGCAUCAGAGAAUUCAUACUGGCCUGAAACCUUACAAAUGUGAAGAAUGUGGCAAAGCCUUUAACUGGGUGUCAAAUCUUUCUAAACAUUAUAAACUUCAUACUGGGGAAAAGCCUUACAAAUGUAAUGAAUGUGGAAAAGCCUUUAUUAAUAAUUCAAAACUUAUUCAACAUCAUAGAAUUCAUACUGGGCAGAAACCUUACAAAUGUAAAGUAUGUGGCAAAGUCUUUAACCAGAAGUCACAUCUUAAUCGACAUCACAGAAUUCAUGCUGUGGAGAAACCUUAGAACUGUUAAGAAUGUGGCAGUCUUUAAAAAAACAGUCAUAUCUUAGUCAUCAUAGAAUUCACACUGGGAAGAAACUACAAAUGUGAAGACUGUGGCAAAGCCUUUAACUGGAAGUCAAGUCUUAUUCUACAUCACAGAAUUCACAUUAGAGAAAUGUUAAAAUUCAAAGGUCAUUUUUUUACUGUAGUCUCUUUAACCAGAAGUCCAGAAGUUUCACCAGAAGUGGCAGUGAUUAUCCAGAAGUCAAAUCAUCCUAAACAUCAGAGUGCCUAGUGAGAGAACCCGUAAAUGAAAGUGACCAAUGGAUUGUCCAAAUAUAUAUUAUGAAACCACCAGAUUUUCAUACUGGAAACUUUAAAGAAGCAAAAAUAGGAGAAAGUAAUUUAUAAUGAAAAUUAGAUGCAUAUUGAGACAUUGCAGUGCAGUAGUAAGUUAAUUAAACUUGGCCAGACAUAACCUAAAAUGAGAAUAUGGUCAUGGAGCAUAAACCAAGAUUAAAACACUAAAUAUUAGCAUAAUUUAAAAGUUCAGGAGGCCUCCCUGGUGGCGCAAGGGGUUAAGUUGCAGCUUUGUGAAGCUGUUGGCAGCCACUGCAGCACAAGUUUGAUCCCUGUCCAGGGAGCUGACCGACAUGGAGCAGCAGACCUCUCCUGUCUUGCCUGAUGCUCCCCUCAGCAGUGUAUUUCAGUAGAUCUGCCUGUUCUGUUCCCCACUCUGUCUCUGGUGAAUCCUCUCACCCCCCUCACCUCUGGCCUAUACCCCAGUUUUUGUAUGCAUAAAAAUACAUCUUUAAAAAACAUAAAUAAAACUUGAAGACAAUGGUUUGGGUCAUGUAUAGUUAUUUUCUAUCAGCCAUACUUGAGCUAUGAAUAGACAUGAUGAAUGUAAUUCACGCCUAAAUUACUUCAUUCUAUGACUUUCUCAUGUACGUCACAUCAUGUGUUUGAUUGUUGCUGCCUCAAACAUCUAAGGGAUCCUUCUCUAAUGGAUGGAUUUGCUCACAUCUGACUUGCUCCUGCAAAUUUAAGGUGGUGUCAUAUAUCAUGUAUGAAGAAAAUGUGAAUGGAUAUGCUGUUUGGUUGACUCAAAAGAUUGAUCUAAAUCACCCAAUUGGCAUAGAAAUUAGACCGAGAAACAUGCUGAAGUUCAAAUCAUUUCAUCCUUUUGUCCUUAGGGAAUACAUUGACAGUCUAUUAAAGUCCUGAUGUCUCUUCAGAGUAGUAAUAGAGAUCAUGAAUAUUAUUUGAUGUUGUUGCCAAAAGAAAUCUUCACAGGCACAUGAUGAAAGAGCAGGUGACUUUCACAAAAGGGCAUGGAAUUCUCAUCCAUUCACAUUAGCUAAGUAAAGAGGCUCUG